rnacentral:rRNA from 1 species
CCUACGGGUGGCAGCAGUGGGGAAUAUUGCGCAAUGGGCGAAAGCCUGACGCAGCGACGCCGCGUGAGGGAUGAAGGUCUUCGGAUCGUAAACCUCUGUCAGCAGGGAAGAACGGUCACUGUACUAAUCAACAGUGAAUUGACGGUACCUGCAGAGGAAGCACCGGCUAACUACGUGCCAGCAGCCGCGGUAAUACGGAGGUGGCGAGCGUUAAUCGGAAUUACUGGGCGUAAAGCGCUCGUAGGCGGUAUGGCAAGUCAAGGGUGAAAGCACCGGGCUCAACGUGGGAACAGCCUUUGAAACUGGCAAACUGGAGUGUAGGAGAGGAUAGUGGAAUUCCAGGUGUAGGAGUGAAAUCCGUAGAUAUGUGGAGGAACACCAGUGGCGAAGGCGACUAUCUGGCACAUAACUGACGCUGAGGAGCGAAAGCGUGGGUAGCAAACAGGAUUAGAUACCCGUGUAGUC